UUUAUGAUUCUAAAGAGGAAGAAGAAAAGUAGUGCUCAGAGAAAAGGAUAAAGAUUCUCUAAGAGGGUUUGGAUAAGGAGAAGAUGUUCCACUGAGUCAAAAACAACAAAAAGAGAUCUCUAUCUCUAGAAAGUUCUACCUCAUAUUAUAAAUCUGCAUAUUAGAUGAUCUAUAAAUCUCCUGGUGGGUGUCUGCCAUGAGAUCAGGAAAUUCAGCAUAUUGAACACAAAUCAAAGCUAAUUCUAGGAAUUUCCAAAGUCAAAGACUAUCCCAAGAACAUCUUUACAUCAAGGAAACUUGACGAUGAGGAAGCUGUGAUUCCGAGGAGUUGCAUAACUUGGCUAACGUCACGUGGGUGGGAGUGGCAGGCUCAGCAUUCAAGCUGGAUGCAAACUCUGAGGUUUAACCAGCACACACUACUGCCUCCCGGGCAGUGCCUGAGGUAGGCGAAGGCUUGCUGCUAGUCUCAGAGGUGGCCUCACUCCAGCUAGACAGCAAAUAUUACAGAGAGCACACCUUCUAAAUAAGACUUUGUUGAAAAAGAAAUGUCAGAUUUUUUUUCUAAGAAGAGUGGCUCCAUAAAUGCAGAGAACAAUAAAGAUUUUAAUGAUGAAUGAUUAUUAUCCCAAUAAUAUUAACAAUACAACAGAAAAAAAAAUUGCAGUUCCCUUGAAACGUUGAAUGUAGUUUCCACUGUGACAAUACAGUAGUUAUUAGCUUUGCUGGUAAAACUUGAAUCAAAAGACUUCCCCAAAAGUGAGCAGAGUUCAGACUGUAAAGGUUUGGGGAAGGAAACUCCAUUGGGGAACAAAGGAGGGCCCUUGUUCCACUCUCAGAUGUGCAACUUGUGCACAGACUCUAGGGUCCCAGUGAUGUCUUUCCUCUAAGUUACCAUGCAAUACCACGGUCUUUCUCCAGCAUCUCCUCUCCCCCUGCAGCCCUCCUUCCCUCCCUGCCCCUCCUAGCACGCACCUGCCUGUCUGGGGAUGUAGGAGAGGGUGUAUUUGAACAGUCUAGUCUAGCACCACUCUAACAUAUAGUCGCAUGUCGUAAUCACACAGCCAGGAAUUAUGUCUCGCACUCCUAAUUACCCUUCAUCAAAGGAUCUCAGAGCACUUUUCAAAUAGUAAUUAGUCAUCUCUUCUCAUGGAUUUUCCUCCUAAAAGCUGGAGGAAAAUCUUUCUACAGACAAUUGUAUGCCUUCCUCCCAAAACUAUUACCAGCAUAUCCAUUGUAACCCUUAAGCCAACCCUCACUAAACCACACACACACACAGAGUGAGGGGAUUGAGGGAGAGAAAGAGUAUUUUUUUAAUGGUGGCGAAGGAGUGGAAUUCUUCCUGUCCUAUCCUGUGCCCACAGUAAGGGUGGAGCCCAUGUCAUCUGUAUACCAUAAGCAUUAUUAAUAAAGACCUACAGUUUUCCUGCACGCCAUUGAUAAAAUGAGUGUGAAUCCCUUUCCAUUCAUAGCAUUGCUCGCCUCCUUGUAUUAAUCCUUCUUCUCUGAGCCACACACACCCUGACUAACACAGGCCUCUUAGCCAAACCACAUUUUUCUCAUAAAGAACUGUGCAUUUCAGAAUUGGGUAAAUUGGUUCU